rnacentral:rRNA from 1 species
AGAGUUUGAUCAUGGCUCAGGACGAACGCUGGCGGCGUGCCUAACACAUGCAAGUGGAGCGACGAACCAGGCUUCGGCCUGGGGCAAAGCCGCGAACGGGUGAGUAACACGUGGGUAACCUGCCCCGAUGAUUGGGACAACCCGAGGAAACUCGAGCUAAUACCAAAUGUGCCCUCCGGCCAUAAGGCCGCUGGGGAAAG